rnacentral:tRNA from 1 species
GGUCGCGUAGUUCAGUUGGUUAGAACGCACGGUUCACAUCCGUGAGGUCACAGGUUCGAGUCCUGUCGCGACCACCA